GACGAACGCUGGCGGCGUGCUUAACACAUGCAAGUCGAGCGGGGUUUAUCGGAUUAGCUUGCUAAACUGAUAAACCUAGCGGCGGACGGGUGAGUAACGCGUGAGCAAUCUGCCUCAUACAGGGGGAUAACAGGUGGAAACACCUGCUAAUACCGCAUAAGACUCCACUACCGCAUGGUAGAGAAGUCAAAGGGAUUACCGGUAUGAGAUGAGCUCGCGUCCCAUUAGCUAGUUGGUAGGGUAAAGGCUUACCAAGGCGACGAUGGGUAGCCGACCUGAGAGGGUGAUCGGCCACACUGGGACUGAGACACGGCCCAGACUCCUACGGGAGGCAGCAGUGGGGAAUAUUGCACAAUGGAGGGAACUCUGAUGCAGCAACGCCGCGUGAGUGAAGAAGGUUUUCGGAUCGUAAAACUCUGUCAUUGGGGAAGAAUAAAUGACGGUACCCAAUGAGGAAGCCCCGGCUAACUACGUGCCAGCAGCCGCGGUAAUACGUAGGGGGCGAGCGUUGUCCGGAAUUACUGGGCGUAAAGGGUACGUAGGCGGCUAUAUAAGUCAGGUGUGAAAUACCAGUGCUUAACACUGGAAUUGCAUUUGAAACUGUGUAGCUUGAGUGCAGGAGAGGAAAGUGGAAUUCCUAGUGUAGCGGUGAAAUGCGUAGAGAUUAGGAGGAACACCAGUGGCGAAGGCGACUUUCUGGACUGUAACUGACGCUGAGGUACGAAAGCGUGGGUAGCGAA
rnacentral:rRNA from 1 species